rnacentral:rRNA from 1 species
AGUAAAGUGGCGACCGGGUGAGUAACACGUGACUAACCUACCUUCGAGUGGGGGAUAACCUCGGGAAACCGGGGCUAAUACCGCAUAAAAUCUUUGGGAUGAGAAGCCGAAGAUCAAAGGAGCAAUUCGCUUGAAGAGGGGGUCGCGGCUGAUUAGCUAGUUGGUGGGGUAACGGCCCACCAAGGCUUUGAUCGGUAGCCGGCCUGAGAGGGCGCACGGCCACACUGGAACUGAAACACGGUCCAG